AACCUUUAGUACGGCGAGUGAGCGGUAAAAGCUCAAAUUUGAAAUCUGGUACUUUCAGUGCCCGAGUUGUAAUUUGUAGAAUUUGUCUUUGAUUAGGUCCUUGUCUAUGUUCCUUGGAACAGGACGUCAUAGAGGGUGAGAAUCCCGUUUGGCGAGGAUACCUUUUCUCUGUAAGACUUUUUCGAAGAGUCGAGUUGUUUGGGAAUGCAGCUCAAAGUGGGUGGUAAAUUCCAUCUAAAGCUAAAUAUUGGCGAGAGACCGAUAGCGAACAAGUACAGUGAUGGAAAGAUGAAAAGAACUUUGAAAAGAGAGUGAAAAAGUACGUGAAAUUGUUGAAAGGGAAGGGCAUUUGAUCAGACAUGGUGUUUUUUGCAUGCACUCGCCUCUCGUGGGCUUGGGCCUCUCAAAAAUUUCACUGGGCCAACAUCAAUUCUGGCAGCAGGAUAAAUCAUUAAGAAUGUAGCUACUUCGGUAGUGUUAUAGCUUUUUGGAAUACUGUUAGCCGGGAUUGAGGACUGCGCUUCGGCAAGGAUGUUGGCAUAAUGGUUAAAUGCCGCCCGUCUAGAACGGGAAA
rnacentral:rRNA from 1 species